UACGUAGGUGGCAAGCGUUGUCCGGAAUUAUUAGGCGUAACGCGCGCGCAGGCGGCCUCUUAAGUCUGAUGUGAAAGCCCCCGGCUCAACCGGGGAGGGCCAUUGGAAACUGAGAGGCUUGAGUAUAGGAGAGAAGAGUGGAAUUCCACGUGUAGCGGUGAAAUGCGUAGAGAUGUGGAGGAACACCAGUGGCGAAGGCGACUCUUUGGCCUAUAACUGACGCUGAGGCGCGAAAGCGUGGGGAGCAAACAGG
rnacentral:rRNA from 1 species